rnacentral:rRNA from 1 species
UACGUAGGGACCGAGCGUUGUCCGGAUUCAUUGGGCGUAAAGAGCUCGUAGGCGGCUGUUCAAGUCGAACGUGAAAACUCGGAGCUCAACUCCGAGCCUGCGUUCGAUACUGGACGGCUAGAGUCUGGUAGGGGGAUCUGGAAUUCCUGGUGUAGCGGUGGAAUGCGCAGAUAUCAGGAGGAACACCGGUGGCGAAGGCGGUUCUCUGGGCAUUACCUGACGCUGAGGAGCGAAAGCAUGGGGAGCAAACAGG